rnacentral:rRNA from 1 species
ACUCCUACGGGAGGCAGCAGUGGGGAAUUUUGGACAAUGGGCGAAAGCCUGAUCCAGCCAUGCCGCGUGCAGGAUGAAGGCCUUCGGGUUGUAAACUGCUUUUGUACGGAACGAAACGGCCUUUUCUAAUAAAGAGGGCUAAUGACGGUACCGUAAGAAUAAGCACCGGCUAACUACGUGCCAGCAGCCGCGGUAAUACGUAGGGUGCAAGCGUUAAUCGGAAUUACUGGGCGUAAAGCGUGCGCAGGCGGUUAUGUAAGACAGUUGUGAAAUCCCCGGGCUCAACCUGGGAACUGCAUCUGUGACUGCAUAGCUAGAGUACGGUAGAGGGGGAUGGAAUUCCGCGUGUAGCAGUGAAAUGCGUAGAUAUGCGGAGGAACACCGAUGGCGAAGGCAAUCCCCUGGACCUGUACUGACGCUCAUGCACGAAAGCGUGGGGAGCAAACAGGAUUAGAAACCCCAGUAGUCCCAUG